rnacentral:rRNA from 1 species
AUUGAACGCUAGCGGGAUGCCUUACACAUGCAAGUCGAACGGAGUGGCGAACGGGUGAGUAAUGUAUAGGAACGUGCCCAGUAGCGGGGGAUAACUACGCGAAAGCGGAGCUAAUACCGCAUACUAUAGGAGCGGCCACAAGCGGAUUAACUAGAUGGUGGGGUAACAGCUCACAAAGGCGACGAGCCGUAGCUGGUUUGAGAGGACGACCAGCCACACUGGGAAUGAGACACGGCCCAGACUCCUACGGGAGGCAGCAGUGGGGAAUUUUGGACAAUGGGGGAAACCCUGAUCCAGCCAUCCCGCUUGUGCGAGGAAGGCCUUCGAGUUGUAAAGCACUUUUGGCAGGACAGCGGUACCUGCAGAAUAAGCACCGGCUAACUACGUGCCAGCAGCCGCGGUAAUAC